rnacentral:rRNA from 1 species
UGGGGAAUCUUGGACAAUGGGCGCAAGCCUGAUCCAGCCAUGCCGCGUGGAUGAUGAAGGCCUUAGGGUUGUAAAAUCCUUUCGCCGAGGACGAUAAUGACGGUACUCGGAGAAGAAGCUCCGGCUAACUUCGUGCCAGCAGCCGCGGUAAUACGAAGGGGGCUAGCGUUGUUCGGAUUUACUGGGCGUAAAGCGCGUGUAGGCGGGUCGUUAAGUUGGGGGUGAAAUCCCGAGGCUCAACCUCGGAACUGCCUUCAAAACUGGCGACCUGGACCUAAGUAGAGGCAAGUGGAAUUGCGAGUGUAGAGGUGAAAUUCGUAGAUAUUGGGAAGAACACCAGUGGCGAAGGCGGCUAACUGGUCCGGUACUGACGCUGAGGUGCGAAAGCGUGGGGAGCAAACAGGAUUAGAUACCCCAGUAGUCCCUGAGCGGGCUGGCAAGGCGCAU